AACUUUGAGAGGAGGAGAAGAGAAGAAAGGAUCAGAUUUGACUCAUCAAAGAGGAAAACCAAACUUGGACGAACCAGAGACGUCCAAACCAGCAAGACGACAUCUCUGCUCCCAGAUUGGAAAGAGUUUUGCCAAGUUAGGAAGCCUGAAAAGACAUAAGAGUCUCACAGGGGAAAAGCCAUACCACUGCUCCUUGUGUGGAAAGGGUUUUAGACAGCAAGGAAGCCUGAAAGCUCACGGCCGAAUACACACAGGGGAGAAGCCUUACCACUGCUCCCAUUGUGGAAAGGGUUUUAGACAGCAAGGAAGCCUGAAAGUUCACGGCCGAAUACACACAGGGGAGAAGCCUUACCACUGCUCCCAUUGUGGAAAGAGUUUUAACAGGUUAGGAGGCCUAAUAACUCAUGAGCGAAUACACACAGGGGAGAAGCCAUACCGUUGCGCCCAGUGUGGAAAGAGUUUUGGCUCGUUAGGAAACCUGCAAUCUCAUGCAAGAUUACACACAGGGGAGAAGCCAUACCAUUGCACCCAUUGUGGAAAGAGUUUUCGCAUGUUAGGAAACCUGCAGUCUCAUCUGAGAAUACACACUGGGGAGAAGCCAUACCAUUGUGCCCAGUGUGGAAAGAGUUUUAGCAUGUUAGGAAACAUGAAAGCUCAUCAGCAAAUACACACAGGGGAUAAGCCUUACCACUGCUCCCAGUGUGGAUCUAGGUUUACCAGGUUAGGAAGCCUGAAAAGACAUGUGGACACACACCGAAGCCUUUCCAUUGCGCCCUGUGUGGAAUGAGUUUUAACCAUUUAGGAAGCCUGAAAAGAAAUGAGAGAAUACACACAGGGGAGAAGCCUUUCCAUUGCGCCCUGUGUGGAAUGAGUUUUAGCUUGAUAGGAAACAUGAAAUAUCAUGAUCUAAAUACACCCAUGGGAGAAGCCUUACAAAUGUCACUUAUAAGGCAGGUGAGGAUCCACACAGAGAAAAAUAACUUCUCCUACUGUGUAAACUGAUAUUUCACAUCACAUUGACUUAAAAUUCAUCAGAGAACAUACACAGUGCUCCCAUUGUCUUAUUUUAAUGACUGUGUUUAAUUGUUUAUACCAUAUGAAAUUGAAUUGUACAAAGCAUACUCUAAAAUAUAUUUGUAUGUUUUUAUUAGAAAAUAAAACUGAAUAUGGAGUCUGUCCGUUUGAAUAUAGAGUAGAUCAGAUUCCGUGUGUUUAAAUGGUCCUUUUUUAAAGUCUGACAUUGUGUGUUUAUCUGGAUGUGUCAUUCCUCCAGCACCAUUGAUAAUCAGAAUAAGACCCAUUGAUAAUCAGAAUAAGACCUUCAAAUAUGUCACCAUCAAUCAUCAUGUCACCACAACAACAGACAUUUACAAGCCUACCACUGGUUGAAUAAACGU